rnacentral:rRNA from 1 species
CAACUUUCAACAACGGAUCUCUUGGCUCUCGCAUCGAUGAAGGACGCAGCGAAAUGCGAUACGUAAUGUGAAUUGCAGAAUUCAGUGAAUCAUUGAAUCUUUGAACGCACCUUGCGCCCCUUGGUAUUCCGAAGGGCRCACCCGUUUGAGUGUCGUGAAG